rnacentral:tRNA from 1 species
GUGCCCGUAGCUCAAGGGCAGAGCGCCUGACUGUGGAUCAGGAGGCUGCGGGUUCGAUCCCCGUCGGGCACC